GUUUCAUUUCAAGUCAUAGAGAGAGUGAAGGGCAAUUUUGGCAAAGGCAAUUUUAAUGGGAAAAUUGAAAAUUUUAUGUAAAACUAAGGGCACUCAUAAAUGGUGGCAAUUUGGUAAUUAUGUUGAAAAAAAGGACAACUAUAACGGAUGGCAAUCUUUUAAAUAAACCAAAAACCAAAGGCAAUGGCUGAAAGGCCUUCAUCUUCCUGCAUCGGGUUUGUAAUGGAACUAGCAACCUCAAAGAACACUAGCGUUGCCAGCAUGCCCAACAACCAUCGAUGGCCUCACUGUGGCUGUCUUCUACUACGUCAAGGCCAACAACAAUGUUGGAACACGCCAAUAGCUACACACAAAGCCCACUAGCCCCCACUCCCGUGAACUGAUCGUGUGACACCACAGCCAACUGCAAGCUUAUUGACAACGUUCAUGGUAGUGCAGUAAGGAGGCAAGGAUGUCGGCUACCCACUGCGCAUUCGAGGAGGCGCUCUUGCACAAUCAACAACUAGUAACCAUCCAGCCAAUCGUUUGGCUCCACAAACACCAAGUGUGUUAUUCAAAAAAACCAGAUCUGAUUUUCUUUUUAUUUCAAAAAUAAAAAAAAAUUAUAAAUUCAAAAUAUCAUAUAAAAUAAAAUAAAAAAAAUUAACACAGAUCUGACUUGCACAUUAUCGGCAUUUCCAAAUCUUAUCUGGAUGAAAAUUGGAAACAAGAAGAUUCAUACGGGAGGAGUAAAACAUAUACAUACCACACACAAACUUGAUUCACAACCACCAACAAUAAAUCAUAAUAUAAAUGUUUAAAGUUCACUCUGAUGCCAGCAUCAAAUGCACACAGCAGAACGAAUUUCAAAAAUAUAGCAUGAAAGAGCAAGCAAGUUUGUCAAGAAUAAUUUACCUUCGAAAAUUUCUUAUAAAUUCUUGAUCAGGAUAACAAAACUUUGGGCUGGGCUGCAGCAAACCACAAGCUUUGCAAUUGUUCGGCCUCUAAAAGCAUCCUCACAGACUGCUUAUGAGGAAAUCUCCAAGACCUUUCUUGGUGAGAGGAGUAAGAUG
rnacentral:misc_RNA from 1 species